rnacentral:rRNA from 1 species
AGAGUUUGAUCCUGGCUCAGGACGAACGCUGGCGGCGUGCUUAACACAUGCAAGUCGAGCGGUAAGGCCCUUCGGGGUACACGAGCGGCGAACGGGUGAGUAACACGUGAGUAAUCUGCCCUUCACUCAGGGAUAACCACGGGAAACUGUGGCUAAUACCUGAUAUGACCCUUCCACGCAUGUGGUGGGGUGGAAAGUGUUUAGCGGUGAGGGAUGUGCUCGCGGCCUAUCAGCUUGUUGGUGAGGUAGUGGCUCACCAAGGCUUCGACGGGUAGCCGGCCUGAGAGGGUGACCGGCCACACUGGGACUGAGACACGGCCCAGACUCCUACGGGAGGCAGCAGUGGGGAAUAUUGGACAAUGGGCGAAAGCCUGAUCCAGCAACGCCGCGUGAGGGAUGACGGCCUUCGGGUUGUAAACCUCUUUCGCUCAUGACGAAGCGCAAGUGACGGUAGUGAGAGAAGAAGGACCGGCCAACUACGUG